rnacentral:lncRNA from 1 species
UUCAGCCCACAACGAAGUCUUGAAGAUGGCCCGUCCUCUUCUUAAGUCUUUUCGGUUUAUUUCCCUUAGCUUGAACCAGAGCCGGUUCAUGGGAGUUGAGCUGCUGUGAACCGUCGUUCUCUCCCAAAAUAUUUCCAGCUAGGGAUUCCGCGUCCUCUAUCUCAAUAGCAUUAUGUAAAUCCCUGGAUAUUGUCUCAAAGCCAAUAAUCAUCGUAUCAUCAUCACCCUCUUCCGAAACGACCUUCUCCUCAAGGUUUAGAGAAGGAAAUCUACUCGCGAUAUCUGCCACUGACUCCCAAGAAGAGUCUUCAGGUAAUGCCCUGUUCCACUGAAUUAGAACCUGUUUAACUUUUUCUUUUGCUUGCCAUAUGAUCCUGCUAUCCAGUAUUGCAAUUGAGUAACUAAUUGGUUGAUUGUUGAUGGCUAUUACUGGAUCUUUUCCGGAAUGAUUUUCAGAUAUUGGACAACAAAAUGCCUUCAACCUUGACACAUGGAAUGUGUUAUGUAUUCUGCAGGUAGUUUUACUUUGUAUGCAGCUUUAUUUAUCACUCUUUCAAUCAUAUAAGGACCAAAAUAUUUUUGGCACAAUUUAUUAUGUAAUCUGCUAGCCACUGAACUCUGCCUGUAUGGCUGUAAUUUUAUUAAGACCCAUGCACCCACUUCAAAUCUCACCUCAGACCUCUUUUUAUCAGCUUGAAGCUUCAUUCUUGCUUGAGCCUUCAAUAAAUUUCUUUUUAUAACUUCCAAUGUUUCUUCUCUCAGAGUUAACAUCAUAUCAACUGACUCUAUUUGUGAAUCUCCUUCCUUAUAAUGUGGUAGUUCAUUGGCUUCUUUACCAUAUACAGCUUUGAAGGGAGACAUCCCAAUGGAAGAAUGGUACCCCGAAUUAUACCAUAAUUCUGCCCAUGGCAGUAAUACUAGCCACUGCUUGGGGUCAUCAUGACAGUAUGACCUUAGAUACAUUUCUAAUGUUCUAUUUACUACCUCUGUUUGGCCAUCAGUUUCUGGAUGGUAUAAGGAAGAAUAGGACAAUUUGGUUCCACUCAAUUUGUGUAAUUCCUUCCAAAAUUUGGAAGUGAAUAUUCUAUCUCUAUCUGAUACUAUUGAUGUCGGUAUUCCAUGUAACUUCAUGAUAUCUUUCAGAAACACCUCUGCUACCUGGACAACAUUGAAGUUUGGGGGUAGUGCACUGAAGUGAGCAUAUUUGGAUAAUCUAUCCACUACCACCAUUAUCACAGAUUUUCCUUCCCUUUUAGGUAAGUCAGUUAUAAAGUCCAUGGUUACAUCUUUCCAUGUUGUAGACGGGAUAGGUAGAGGCAUGAGUAGGCAUGAAGGCUUCUGGUUGGAAGGCUUCAUCUUUUGGCAAAUUAUACAAUCUUUCACAUAGUUAUAUAUAUCCAAUCCCAUCUUAGGCCAAUAAAAUACUUUGCAUACUCUUUUCUUGGUCUUCAUUUUACCAGCAUGGCCUCCUAGCUAUUAAUGAAUCAUGAAACUCUUCUAGAAUUUUAGGAAUAAAAACUGAAUUCUUCUUUAAGUAAUAUCUGCCCUUAAAGAAUAAAAUUCUUGAUUUUACCUGAAACCCAUUGAAAUCUUGGCCUUCCUCUAAAGAUGCAUGAAUAAUGCUCUGCACCUCGGGAUCUUCUUCAUUUUCUUUCUUAAUAUCUUCUAGCAUAGAAUUUACUGAUAUGGAGAAGGAUAGUAAUGAUCCCGGUUCAUCUUCAGCUCCACUAGAAAAUAUAAUUUCUUCACUCUCUCCUUCUUCAAAUGAUCUGGAUAGAGCGUCAGCUACAAUAUUUUCCUUGCCUGGUUUAUAGAGUAUGUUAAAAUCGAAUCCCAAUAAUUUUACAAGGAACACUUGUUGUUCUGGAGUCUGAAUUACCUAAGUUAAGAGAUUUCUGUGAUCAGUUUUAAUUAUAAAAUGAGAUCCCAAUAAGUAGUGUCUCCACUUGGCUACUUUUUGUGUUAUCGCAUACAUUUCUUUCACAUAUAUUGUUGCUGAACUGAGCUUACCUGAUAUCUUUCUGCUGAAGAAUGAUAUGGGGUGCUUGUUCUGAAUUAAUACUGUCCCUACCCCCAUUGUUGCAAGCAUCUAUCUCAAUAAUGAAUUGUUGAUUAAAAUCAGGGUAUCCUAAUACUAGAGCUGACACCAUGGCUGUUUUUAAAUUUUCAAAGCUACCUUGGGCUAUGUCACUCCACUUAAAAGCAUCCUUUUUUAAUAAAUCUGUCAUAGGAGAAGCUAUCUGGGCAUAGCUCUUAAUGAAUCUACUAUAGUAGUCAGUCAAUCUCAAAAAUCCUCUUAGCAUUUUAAGGUUCUUUGGAACAUCCCACUCCACCAUUGCUUUUAUGUUUUCCGGAACCGAAUACACCCCAUCAGCCUUAAUGAUAUGACCCAAAAAAUCCCAUAGAAUCUUGACCAAAGGAACACUUGGACAAGUUUGCUAAUAAUCUGUUCUCCCUCAAGGUGUCAAAUACCUUAUGUAAAUGUGUGAGGUGAUCCUAUAGGGAUGAGCUGAACACUAAUAUAUCAUCAAAAAAUAUAAUAACGAAUUUCCUUAAAUAUUUAGCAAAAACAGAAUUCAUGACUGAUUGGAAAGUUGCUGGUGCAUUUGUGAGACCGAAUGGCAUCAUUAAAAAUUCAAAGUACCCCUGGUGGGUUCUGAAUGCUGUCCUUUCAAUAUGAGGUGGAUGAACUCUGAUCUGAUGAAAUCCAUAUCUUAGAUCUAAUUUUGAGAAAAAUUUAGAUCCUUUAAGUUCCCCUAGAAGUUCAUCCACAGUAGGAAUAGGAAACUUGUCUUUAGCAGUUAGAGCAUUCAAAGCUCUAUAAUCCACACAUAAUCUAUAGCCUCCAUCUUUCUUUUUUACUAGUAGUACUGGAGAUGAAUAUGGGUUGGUGCGCGCUAGGCUUGAUGAUCUGCUGAUUUAACAUUUCAGCCACUAGUUUUUCAAUUUCUGACUUCUGGAAUUGUGGGUACCUAUAAUGCCUCACAUUUACAGGGUUUGCAUUACAUUCCAGAUUUAUAAAGUGGUCUCUAUCUCUUUGGGGUGGCAGCCCUGUUGGUGUUUCAAAAAUAUCAGUAUAUUCUUGAACAAUUUUAGUGACUUUUAGGUUGUUUGAAUUCAGAGUAGGAACCUCUUCAUUUUUCUCUAUUUUCUACAUAUAACAUAAGUAGGCUUCCUGUGUAGAGGCAACAAGGCAUUUUAACUGUCCCACAGAAAGAGGAUCUUCAGAAACCCAAGAACAUCAUUGCCAUAUAAUCUGUUUUUAAGUCUUCUUAAAUGACAUGUUAAGCUCAUCAAAAUUAAAGGUGACUAGUCCCAAAGUCUUUAAUCCUUGAAUCCCAAUAACCACAUUAGCCCCUGCCAUCUGAAGCAAAAAAAUGUCCAUUUUCACCAAUGUAUUCUGGAUUUUUAUUUCUACUUCUUUGCAGACUGCCUCACAAAUUAAUUUACCACUCCCAGUAGACACUUUAAAUGGAACUAUCACAUGAGUGACUAAUUUCAGAGCUGAGGCUACUUUUGUUUGAAUAAAAUUGUGUGUGGAACAUGUGUCCAAUAGUACACUAACAUACUGGCUUUUUAUGAGGCCAUCUAAUCUGAUGGUUGUGGCAUUGAUAUGACCUUCAAAAGCGUGAUAGCUGAUUUCUCUGUCCUCAGUACUAAUGUUUUCAGUUUCUUCUUCCACCACCUCUUCUUCCUCAACCACUUCCCAAAAGCAAGAGUACUCAUCACCUUACAUUUUGAAAAAAAUUCCUUUACACUUAUGGACAGGAAUGAAUUUGUCAUCACAGUUAAUUAAAACAUAACCCUUUAGUUGUCCUCUCCUUUCUUUCAGAAGGAUACAAUCUUUUAAGCACAGGUGAUGGUAUGGAAUUUUCCUUUGGGCUUCCUUUUGUUUGAUCUGUCUUGGUUAUGAAUGAUGUAGUCUUGAGAGUGAAUGACUUUGUAUAAUAGGGCUUGUUGCUCCCUUUAAAACCUGGUUUCCUUGCUUCAAACGUGAGUGAUAGUUCAAAUGCCUCAUGUAUAUAUGAAGGUUUGCCUCUCAUUACCUCCAUCUGUAUUUCUUCCUUGAGACCUGAAAUGUACAUUUCUAAAAUAAAGUAUUCAGGCAGCCAAGUUGUAAAUAAAAUGCCAAGUUGUAAAUUUCCUGAUGACUACAUCUACAAAUUUUUUCCAUGAUGAUAGCAUAUUGCUUGCCUCAAGCCAAGCAAACCAUUUCAUUGCUAUUCCAUCUAAGUGGAAUGAAACAAUAAGAAGUUUUUGAUCUUCGGGAAUUUUAUUAAAUAUAAAAUACCUUCUUAUUGAAAAUAACCAACACUCCGCAUCUGUGUCAUCAAACCUUGGCAUGUUAACUUUGAUAUGCUUGGCAGGGGAGUAAGAAUCAUUAUUUAGGAUGUUGCUGGCAUAGUCAGGAUUGUCUAAGUCCACCACUGACUGAUAGAAUGGUUGCAGAGAUUUUGAUUUAUGAUCUGGUUUUUCCUGAUCUUCAUUGCAUUCUAUGUUGAUUUUAGUAUCAGGUGACUCCCUUUGAUUGUUGUACAGAUUUCGUUUAUUUGCCUUCCCAAUUCCAAAAAAUUGCUAUUGACAUUAGCUCUGAACUCGCUCAUGUCCUUGAUUUGAGACAUUUGUAAUGUCUGUAAUCUCUGAAAAUCUGGAUUUGUUGUUAAAUUCAAUAUAGUCAUCCUGAAAGAAGAGAUCAAAUAUUGAAAGCACCAGUGAUAGGGUUCUAAUCCCUGCAAAUAAAUGAAACAACUUGACCCGAGGGUCGAAGGUGCCUUAGAUCUAAGAUUUGGGAUCUUAAUUAGGUGUCCAAGGCGUGCAUAGCGGGAAUCAAUCCCUGAUAUUGAGACUUAGCCCUGGAUGAUUAGUCUUGUUAAGCAAAUCAGCAGAGAGCUCAAUGCAACAUAUUGUUGAGAAGACCGGCAGUGACGGAGAGGAUGGACGGAGGAGUACUCGACAUAACUGCCGGAGGGUAGGGUUUGCGUUUUGUGGAAUUGAGAGAGAUGAUAAUUUUGAUUCAAAUUUCAAUAAAGAUUUCCUCAAUCAUUACAGAGUUUAUACUCAUGACCUAUUACAACUUAAAAUUGACUUUAGGGUCUUUUGCAAUUUAUUAAAAAAAACUAACUAAUGUUGCUGGGUUAAUGUUUCAGCUCACAACGAAGUCUUGAAGAUGGCCCAGCCUCUUCUUAAGUCUUUCCGGUCUAUUUCCCUUAGCUUGAACACAAAGUCGGUUCAUGGGAGUUGUGCUGCUGCGUCAUUUUCCCCCAGCUAGAGAAAGUUGAAGAAAUGAAAUGAUGAAAAUGUUGUAUGGAAAUUUGAUUGAUUGAUGGUAGUUCUAUAGGCUCUAGAAUGAUUGUACGAAUCUUAAUUACUAGUAUAAACAGUAUUAAAUUUAAUACUGAUGGG